CAUGCAGGUGGUUUCGUUAGUCGGAUGUGAAAGCCUCUGGCUUAACUAGAGGAGGUCGUUCGAUACUGCGGGACUAGAGGUCGGAAGAGGGAAGCGGAAUUCCCGGUGUAGUGGUGGAAUGCGUAGAUAUCGGGAGGAACACCAGUGGCGAAGGCGGCUUCCUGGUCCGCACCUGACACUAAGAUGCGAAAGCGUGGGGAGCGAACG
rnacentral:rRNA from 1 species